GAAAGUGUGCGGUAAUGGUAUUUAGCGCUGCUGGUUCAAAAUACACAUUGUGGAUGAUCCAUUGACAUUUCUCUCUACAACAUUUCAGUUUCGUUUAUUGUAGUAUCAUAAAGUUUCCUGCCURUCCGGACCGCUGUGCUUCAUGCGCAAUAGACUGAGAAUUUGAGUACAGUACAUAGGAAAUGACUCAUAGGAGUUCAACUGUUAGCGUGGGUGUGUACUCUAUUAAAACAAGGCUCAGACUACUCCGGAUGACUCAGUGCGAGGCUAGCUUUCAAUGGUGAAAACCAACACGGGCUGUUCUUCAGAUGAACUUUCGGGAAUUGCGUUUAUACAAGAACGAUGGCUUCAUACGUUCUCUGUGCGCUUUGUGGACUGAUCAUUGCGACUAUAGUGAAACUAAACGGAGUGAAUGGGCAAAGCCUAUGCACCAGUAAAGAGUUCUGGAGUUCAGACAUAGACCAAUGUGUAUCCUGCUCAACAUGUAAGCAGUAUCCAAAGACCCCUUCAUGUAACACUUGCACAUUUACAGAGGAGAGAUCUGAUGUCUGGAGACUGGCAGCCAUUUCCAGCUUCUCUGUGCUGGCAGUCGUUCUGCUCAUUGCAGUGUUGAUCAUUGGGGUCAUGGUGCAUCGACGCACGGCAAACAAUAGGCCCCUUCGUGAACCUAUUGAAGAGACAACGGGACCUCUUUACCAAGCUUAAACAUUUCACUUCAUCUUCCUCCUGACAUCGAUGUGACAGAACCAAGGGAACACCUUUUGAGGACCAAUCGUCAGAAGAAUUUCUGUACAAUGGACUGUGGGUAUUAUUUGAGCAGAGUUUGAAUUGAUACUGCUAGUUAGUAAAGGUGUGCUCACACUCAUUAGACUGUUACAGAACGGAGCUCUCACAUAGAGCUGUGUUGACUCCCGCUGUCAAUCCCGUCUUGUCUGAAGUCAGACUGUGCUCUGAGGAAGACCAUGUGGUUAGUAAAGAGUAGCUCUCACAGCUCUUUUGGUAUUGAUGUCCUUUGAGUUAUGAUGCUAGUUUUAGCCAGUGUAGAUAUUCCAAUCUAUCGAUAAGUCAUUUGUUCAACAAUAAGUAGGUUCAAAAACAGUAGUGAACAUGAGACACAUCUUGAAUGAUUUGUAUUUAUUACCAUAACUGUCAAUGCUUGAUCACCUAUUACUGUAUUGGUGUCAGACAUUUAGCUUAUUAGGUAGAAUACCAGCUAACACACUGCCUCGACUUGCCACAAGCAGGAUGAAUGUGAAUACAGCACAAUCAAGCUUUCUGGGCCAGGUUUGACCUACUGUACUUCUAAGACUAAAAGGUUUAUAUUUGCUGGUCAUAUAACAACCCUUUGGUGAAGUAUACAAGUGAUAUGUUAGAUGAGUGGUCAGCAACCAGUCGAUCGGUUAUAUAAAAUAUAUUUUGAUUCGUUGAAAACUUUUUUUGGGUGACUACAUGAUUCCAUGUGUUAUUUC